UCUUGUUUUUGUUUGUUUUUUGUUUUGUUUUUUUUUUUAUUAAGAAAACGGUAGAAAAUUUUAAUUUUUUUCAUGAUUAAUUGAAAACUUUUUUCUUUGAUCUUCUUAUCAUAUUUUGCAGAAAGUGAUUUACUAUAGGUACUCGAACCUACCUAAACAAAUAUUUUUUUAAUUUGAACAUCUGUGUCAAAAUUGAAAUAAUUUACAUUUUUUUGCAUUUUUUUUUCAAGAUAGACAGUGAAAAGGAGGGUUCUAAAAGCAUUGCUAAAGACCGAGCAAAAAAUUCUAAAAAAUUCUUAAUUCAUUCAAGAAAUUUCACUGAACACGCUGAAAUAGUUUUAGGACACCCGUCAGCCUUCAUAUAAGUUUUUGUCGCUCUGUUGCUCUUGAUUAUUGAUUUGUCUGAAAUAUUAAUUCUGGUAAACGUUUUACGGGACACUUGAGUUCUAAAAAAAAUAGAUGAAAAAAUAAAAAACAAACAUUUAAUUAUCAAAACGUUAAUAAAUCAAUGCGCAGUUUACGAUUGGUUCAAUUUUAACGAGCGAAAAAUCUAAAAAAAAAAUCGAUCAUCAAAUUAUCAUUUCAUCUACAAACUAUAAAUCUUUCUAUAAACAUCUCUCCGGUAGGCUUUUUAUCUAGUUUUGCGUUGAUUUAUCUACUGCAGCGAAUGAAAGUUCAUAUUAAAAAUCAUAUCUUAAUCGAUUCUCCAUAAAAUGGCAAGAAAAAAAAACUGGUCAGACUAAUGAGUCGAAUUUACUCGCAGCAUUCAAUAAACACAUCAGAUGAAAGAAAAAAAAAUCGAUUUCUAAUGAGUCUUUAGAAACGAUUUUCAGUAUAAUUAUGAUACAAAGAUAUGGACUAAAAUGAACAUUGAGGUGUCAUUUUAUGAUUAAAUUUAAAUAUUUGUAUUGGUUUCAUCGUGCAGAAAAGAUAGUCAAGAUUGGAUCUAGAUGCUGCGUACCUAUUUUAAAUUGACAAAUUCAUAAAAAUAAAAUUGUCUUUUUAAUAGUUUGGUAGUUUUUAACUGAAAACACUUUCCAUAGUAAAUUAUUUCUUUUGACAAAUUACGAAUCUAAUCUGCCUAUACCUACCUACAUACGUAUGAUUUAAAUUUCAACAUUCCAGCUGAAUAGGAGCAUUAUAUUUUUGUAAUGCAAAUAGUAUAGGCUUAUGGGUAACGUAAUAUUUUCGUUGGUUUUAAUUUUAAUAUUUUUUAAGAAAAUAGGCAAGUUUCUGAAGAUCGUGAGAAUAUUUUUUUAAAUCUUAAUACUACCAGGAAUUCUACGUUAUACCUACAAGAUUCAUGUAAAUCAAGUUUAAUGAUUUUUCUCAUGGUAUGAAAAUUAUUCAAGAUUUAUUUAUCAUGAAUAAUUUCAAUAAGAGUUCACAUUGUUUUAUUUUUCAAUGUUAUGUUUUACAUGCUCUGUGCUCCAUUCAGGGUUCACAUGGAAUAAAAAUAAAUACUCGAGAGAGUUAUUAAAACGAAGAUACGAGUAUUUACACUGAUGUGGAUUCAUCUUUACCUUUAUCAAGUCUAAGAAAAACUUCAAAUAUCAGGCAACUUCUCCUUAUUACGUUGUUCGGAAUGGCUUUUGAAAACACGCUCAUUAUCUCCGAUCAGGUUACUAACGACCAUUAACUCAAUCACGACAAGCUACUAAAUACGUGAUGAACAUAAAUCAUUAUACCUCUCAAUCUAUGCUGAGUCUAGAGAUUGUUCAAGCAAGGUAGCUUAUCUACUCGUACAACCGUUUAGUAAUAUUCCUUCUCAAUGGAAUAGGUCCCUGUAUAGAUCAGUAAGUAUUUUUGUAAUGGUAAAAAUUAACCUCACGUGUACAUGGUCAUAGGCCAUGAGGCCGUGACAUUUAAUAAACAAUUUUUUUUCUUAAUUUUUUACAAAUAACUUCUAGUAUCUACCGACAUCAAUUACAUAGAUAAUAAUUCCAGUUUAAUUAAAAAGUAAAUUCGACAUUACUAUGGGUACAAUUGCAUCGAACGAACUUAUUUUUUUUUUCAACAGGUUCUUUCAUCCAAGGAGUACACUACCUUAAAGUAUAGGUAGGUACCUAAGAUCCAUUAAUUAAAUCAUAUCUACGAUCUAAUAAACCAUUUUCCGAAACUAGUUCCAUUAAUUUGAAACUUAUUAAAGGCAUUUUAGUAUUCAUUUAGCUCGAACCAUCUCGCGCUAUAGUUUUAAUUACUACUUAGGCUGUUUUAGUUGAUGAUUAAACAUUAAGAAUGGCACAAGAGAAAUACCACAGAGAGGUAACUUUUAUCGGUGCAUUAAAUCGUAAUCGAUGUAUUUACUGUAACGUUUCCUUAUCUGUUUUAGAUACUGUUACAGAGUAAAAAUUUCAAUUAAUACGACUCCCAUGAAGAUUCAUCAACCAUUUCGCCUGCAGUAUUUUGUUGCGUGAACGUAGACUAACGACAGAAUACACAUUAUAGUAAAAUAAAUCUCAAUUAAACCUGGUGUCGAACAAUUUUUCCAUCUUUACUGCAGGCUGAAUUUAAAAUCAACCUAGGAAAACGCCCAUUUGAUGAGAGCAUAAGCACCCUGACGGACUGGAAUAUUUUAUGCAUUUAAAUUUUUUUCACUUCUUUUGUUUUAAAGGUGAGAAAACGGGAUCCAAAUCCGAUUCAGAUUCGGUGGAAAAAUUAUUCCAGAUUGGGAAUCAAUCAGGUAGAACGAUGUGAUAGAAAUUAUUAGAGAAACAUAUGCUAUUCCUUGGCAUGACUGAAAUGAUGGAAUACCUAUGAAAUCGACGACUAUUUUUGUUGAUUAAGAAAUAAAGUUGAAUAGAACAUACCUACAGAAUGCAUAAUAUAUUUUAUCUCUUUUUCAAUAA